GACUGUGUAUGGGGGUCGGGGGUUCAAGUUCCUUCAUGAGUCUUAUGAUAAUAAAUUUUUAGGUUUGUGUUGUUUAAGUGGUUGAGUUUGGAUUAAUUCAAAUGUUUUUUUUUUUAAAUUGUUGAGAGUAGGAGAUUAGUUCAGGUUUUAUUUUUACUUUAUUUUUAUUUUCUUUCUUUCAACUUCUACUUUCUCUUCUUUAUGGUUAAAACGACAAUCCUUGCCUGUCUUUGCCAUUGUUCUUCGUGAGGGUUAUUGUGGUUGGGUUGUAUGCAAGUGGAUUG
rnacentral:lncRNA from 1 species